AGUGAACGCUGGCGGCAGGCCUAACACAUGCAAGUCGAACGGCAGCGCAGUACGUGCUUGCUGUUACCGGGGGGCGGUCGGGGGAGGAAGACGUGUGCAUCGGACCCUACUUUUUCGUGGGGCUUCACGUAGCGGGAGUUACGCCACUACCGCAUACCCUCUACGGGUGAAGGCGGUGGAUCUUUGGACCUUGCGCGAUUGAAUGCGCCGCUGUCGGGUUUGCUAGUUGGCGGGGUAAAUGCCCACCAUGGGGAGGAUAGGUGGCUGGUCUGAGAGAAGGGUCGGCCACACUGGAACGGAGACACGGCCCAGACUCCUACGGGAGGCAGCAGUGGGGAAUAUUGGACAAUGGGCGCAAGCCUGAUCCAGCCAUACCGCGUGUGUGAAGAAGGCCUUCGGGUUGUAAAGCCCUUUUGUGGGGAAAGAAAAGCUUCAGCCUAACACGCCGCGGGUCUGACGGUACCGGAAGAAUAAGCACCGGCUAACUACGUG
rnacentral:rRNA from 1 species